rnacentral:lncRNA from 1 species
UGGUUCAACAACAGAACUAGGGAGUGGCUGAUUGAGAUGGUGGGUCGUCAAAGGAAUAGUGGUUUCAUGGUGGGUGCUUGGGCUUGUAGAUCUGGGGAAUGGUUGGUUGGCAUGGAGGUUUGAUGGUGGUCCGACGGUGCUUGAAGAAAAUGCAAGAGAAUGCACACAACGUGUUCGUUGCUUUUAGAUUUGGGAAAGCUAAAAACCAUUUUUUUUGUUGGCUUGUGAAAUUUUGUGGUUAAGAUUUGUUACCGAUGGUGGUUUUUAAGGUUUAGCAACGAUUGUAGUGGUUCUAAUGAUGGUGUGAUGUCGCUGGUAGUGGUGGUAGUUGGUGUUUGUUAAAGGUGUUGGGGGAUGUGAUAGUGAUGGUGAUGGUGAUUGUUAUUGUGGAUUGAGUUGAAGGUGGUAGUGGUGGUAUAUUAGAGUGAUGGUGGUGGUGGUGAGUGGCCAUGGAUUGUGGUACUGGUCUUUUGUGCGUGCAACUUUUUUGUAGUGACCCUUCUGACAAAGUAUGUAUUUUUAUUAUGACUGGAUGUGAUCAAAUCUUUUUUUUCAUUGUGAUUGUCUAUGAUCAGAUUAAUAGUAAGUCACAAAUUAGAUUGAUUUGGUCACAAAUAAUCACGAAUUUGAUCACGAUUAGUCACGGAUAAUAUAUGUCAGUGACUUUGUUACAUAUAGUCACAAGUUACACUGACUUGGUC